GCCAAAGAACUGGAGCCGAUGAUUAUCGUCAGAACGGUCACAUUGAUAUAUAUAUAUCAACUCUAUUAUAGAGCAGCAGUGGGGAAUCUUUGACAAUGGUCUAACGACUGAUCAAGUUAUCUACAAGAAGGAAUUUAUAAUAAAUAUAUAUAAAUAUAUCCCCUUCGGGGGGAUAUAUUUAUAUAUACUAAUUAAUAUAAAUAAAGAGAAAUACUAUAAACUUCUGAAUAAUUAUAAUAAUGAUAUAAUUAUGAAAUAGUCCCAACCAAAACAUGUGCCAGCAGCUGCGGUUAGACAUGGGGGGCAAGCAUUGUUCAAUAAGGCUUAAAGGUUCUGUAGAACGUAAUAUAAUUUAUAUAUAAAUAUAAAUUAAAAUAGAAUAAAUUUAAAUAAGUAUAAUGAAAAAGAUUUAUAUAGGUGAAAUGAGACAUUAAAUUUUAGACAGCCAAUAAUAUACUUAUAAUUUAUUGACGUUGUGGGAAGAAGGCUACGGUAGCAAAAUGGAUUCGUUAACCGUGUAGUCGUAGCUGUGAACUAUGAAUACUUUAAUUAUUUUAAAUAUAAAUAUUUAAAAUAGAAAAGUGAAAAUGAAAAGUAUUCCGCCUGACGAGUAAGCUCGCAAGAGUGAAAAACAAGACAUUAGACGGUCUUAGUUAUUAGCAGUGGAACAUGUCGUUUAAUUGGAUUAUCCUCCUAAAACCUUACCAUCUUUUGAAUAUUUAAUAAAUAUAUAUAUAUUUAUUAUUUACAGGCGUUACAUCGUUGUCGUCAGUUCAUGUUGUGAAAUAUUUUAUUGAGUUACUUAAUGAACGAAAUCCUAGACCUUAUUAGGUAUAUGUAUUAUUUAAUCGUAAUAGGAAGUAUAGGUUGAAGGCUAAUCAUGAUGACCUUUAUAAGAUGGGCUACUGACGUGUUACAAUAUUAUUGACAAUUAUAUAAUUACUUUAUAUUUUAUUAAUUAUAUUAAACAAUAAUAAUUGGAAUUAAGUAUUCAUUAAAAGGAUUAUAACCUGAAAUUCGGUUAUAUGAAUAAGGAAUUGCUAGUAAUCGUGAACUACUGUGUCACGGUGAAU
rnacentral:rRNA from 1 species